GAUGAACGUUGGCGGCGUGCCUAAUACAUGCAAGUCGAACGAAGACUGUAGUAAUACUGUCUUAGUGGCGAACGGGUGAGUAACGCGUGGGUGGCCUGCCCCGAAGUGUGGGAUAACAGUCCGAAAGGAUUGCUAAUACUGCAUAAUAUCCAAGAGAUUAGAUGCUUUUGGAUUAAAGGAGUAAUUCGCUUCGGGAGGGGCCCGCGUCCCAUCAGCUAGUUGGUAAGGUAAUGGCUUACCAAGGCGAUGACGGGUAGGGGACCUGAGAGGGUGGCCCCCCACAAUGGAACUGAAACACGGUCCAUACACCUACGGGUGGCAGCAGUAGGGAAUAUUAGUAAUGGGCGAAAGCCUGAACUAGCAACGCCGCGUGUGCGAAGAAGGCCUUCGGGUUGUAAAGCACUUUUUGAGGGGAUGAGGAAGGACGGUACUCUCAGAAUAAGUCUCGGCUAACUACGUG
rnacentral:rRNA from 1 species